rnacentral:rRNA from 1 species
UACGGAGGGUGCAAGCGUUAAUCGGAAUUACUGGGCGUAAAGCGCACGCAGGUGGCUGAGCAAGUCGAUUGUGAAAGCCCUGGGCUUAACCUGGGAAUUGCAGUCGAAACUACUCGGCUAGAGUAUGGGAGAGGACAGUGGAAUUCCCGGUGUAGCAGUGAAAUGCGUAGAUAUCGGGAGGAACAUCAGUGGCGAAGGCGGCUGUCUGGCCCAAUACUGACACUCAGGUGCGACAGCGUGGGGAGCAAACAGG